CUAUAAAGACUUGAUAUCAUGCUGUCAGCUGCAGCAGAAGAAGAGAAGCUCCAUCAGGUCACCUUCAACACCAACCAUGUUCUCUGUAGCUCUGCUGCUGCUGCUGGCUGCUGGAUCCUGUGUGAAGUGUGAGCAGUUGAUACAGCCAGCCUCUGUGACUGUGCAGCCAGGUCAACGUCUGACCAUCACCUGUCAGGUCUCUUAUUCCGUUAGUAGUUACUACACAGCCUGGAUCAGACAGCCUGCAGGGAAAGGACUGGAGUGGAUAGGAAUGAGACAAGGUUCAACUACAUACUACAAAGAUUCACUGAAGAGCAAGUUCAGUAUUGAGGUAGACUCUUCCAGCAAAACAAUCCCAUUGUUAGCUCUGACGACAAGAAGCAAUACAGCGACUCUGAACGGACAGAGCGUGCAGCCUGGAGACUCUGCUGUGUAUUACUGUGCCAGAGACACACUGUGACACACACCAUCAGUAGAGCUGAACAAAAA